UUGACGGGGAGCACCACAACGGGUGGAGCUUGCGGUUUAAUUGGAUUCAAACGCCGGAAAUCUUACCGGGACCGACAGCAAUAUGAAGGCCAGGCUGAAGACUUUGCCGGAUUAGCUGAGAGGUGGUGCAUGGCCGUCGUCAGUUCGUACUGUGAAGCAUCCUGUUAAGUCAGGCAACGAGCGAGACCCACGCCCACAGUUGCCAGCGUACUCUCCGGAGUGACGGGUACACUGUGGGGACCGCCGCUGCUAAAGCGGAGGAAGGAAUGGGCAACGGUAGGUCAGUAUGCCCCGAAUAUCCCGGGCUACACGCGAGCUACAAUGGUUGGUACAAUGGGUAUCUACCCCGAAAGGGGACGGGAAUCUCCUAAAACCAAUCUUAGUUCGGAUUGAGGGCUGCAACUCGCCCUCAUGAAGCUGGAAUCCGUAGUAAUCGCGUUUCAACAGAACGCGGUGAAUACGUCCCUGCUCCUU
rnacentral:rRNA from 1 species